rnacentral:rRNA from 1 species
UUGACCUACGGGAGGCAGCAGUGGGGAAUAUUGGACAAUGGGGGAAACCCUGAUCCAGCGACGCCGCGUGAGUGAAGAAGUAUUUCGGUACGUAAAGCUCUAUCAGCAGGAAAGAAAAUGACGGUACCUGACUAAGAAGCCCCGGCUAACUACGUGCCAGCAGCCGCGGUAAUACGUAGGGGGCAAGCGUUAUCCGGAUUUACUGGGUGUAAAGGGAGCGUAGACGGCAAUACAAGUCGGAAGUGAAAUACCCGGGCUCAACCUGGGAACUGCUUUGGAAACUGUAUGGCUGGAGUGCUGGAGAG